rnacentral:rRNA from 1 species
UUUUGCGAUACUUGGUGUGAAUUGCAGAAUCCCGCGAAUCAUCGAGUCUUUGAACGCAAGUUGCGCCCCAGGCCAUCCGGCUGAGGGCACGUCUGCCUGGGUGUCACGC